GCGAAAGCCUGAUGCAGCAACGCCGCGUGAGCGAUGAAGGUCUUCGGAUCGUAAAGCUCUGUCCUCAAGGAAGAAUAUUGACGGUACUUGAGGAGGAAGCCCCGGCUAACUACGUGCCAGCAGCCGCGGUAAUACGUAGGGGGCUAGCGUUAUCCGGAAUUACUGGGCGUAAAGGGCGCGUAGGCGGAUGAUUAAGUCUGGUGUGAAAACCUAGGGCUCAACCCUGGGACUGCAUCGGAAACUGGUUAUCUUGAGGACAGGAGAGGAAAGUGGAAUUCCACGUGUAGCGGUGAAAUGCGUAGAUAUGUGGAGGAACACCAGUGGCGAAGGCGACUUUCUGGACUGUAACUGACGCUGAGGCGCGAAAGCGUGGGGAGCAAACAGGAUUAGAUACCCUGGUAGUCCACGCCGUAAACGAUGAGUGCUAGGUGUAGAGGGUAUCGACCCCCUCUGUGCCGCAGUUAACACACUAAGCACUCCGCCCGGGGAGUA
rnacentral:rRNA from 1 species